GGAUUCUAUCGUUGGUCGGGCUAUUGUCUGUACUGGCAUGUAGAAUUUCUACCUUCUGGGGAACUAUCAUGUUAUUAAUUUAGCGUGGUAGGAAACUAGGACCUUUACCUUGAAAAAAUUCGAGUGUUCAAAGCAGGCUUAUGUCUGAAUACAUUAGCAUGGAAUAUUAAAAUAGGACGGUGGUCCUGUUUUGUUGGCCGUA
rnacentral:rRNA from 1 species